rnacentral:lncRNA from 1 species
GAGUUGUUGACUGGGUUGUCAUAGCUAGCCUGGGCUCUGGAGUGAGGAUGGUCAGUGUUGGGCACAAUUAAUUCAUCCAUAGAAGGAAAAGAUGUUGAGCAAAAUAUCUCAAUGAAGUAAUGGAUUCAAAUGGUGUCAGGAACAUCUAAACAGCACAGCAGUUGCUUCUACAUCAAAUGUGACAUUUGGCAUUGAGGGAGUUGACCCUGAGAGUACUCACCGAUUAACCUCCUAUAUACUGACCUUCAUCUCAGGAUCUGCUUCUUGGAAAAACUGAACUGCAACGCCAUGGUUUAUGUUUUACGUACAAACUGAGUCCGCAUAAAGCUUUAUACAGAAGGGUGACAUCUGAUUUGCAAUUUAGGAGGAGGACUCUGGUUCCUGAUUGAAGAAUGGAUUAUAAUUGGGCAAGGGUGGAGGCCCUCCUAUAACUUUCAAAAGCUGUGAUGGGUUCAAGGGGAGAUAUGUUUAUUCCACUUUGAGCUGUUUCUCAGGAUAUUACGUGCUGUGAUGGAUAUGCUGGCUGGAAGAACAUGCAAAUCCAGCCCUAACACUGCAGAAAAGAUUGUUCCAAAGCAGAAGACUAUGCUUUUACUGAUCGGUCCGGGCAGGACUAUGGAUGUCUUAGAUGAACUGCUCUCCAAGACUAGAUAAGUGGAUGUUGGAGAAUGUUCUAAUAUUGGGCCACUGUUUUUUGCUUUUUGGGUUUCUUUUUUUUUUUUUUUGAGAUGGAGUUUCACUGUUUAGCCCAAGCUGGAGCGCAAUGAUGUGAUCUUGGCUCACUGCCACCUCCAUCUCCUAGGUUCAAGCAAUUCUCCUGCCUCAGCCUCACAAGUAGCUGGGAUUACAAACAUAUGCCACCAUGCCCAGCUAAUUUUGUAUUUUUUUAGUAGAGACAGGGUUUCUGACCAUGUUGGCCAGGCUGGUCUUGAACUCCUGACCUCAGGUGAUCUAUCCACCUUAGGCCUCCCAAAAUGCUGGGAUGACAGGCGUAAGCCGUUCGCCCAGACUGUUUUAGUGUUAUUGUUGUAUUGGGUCUGGGGGAAACCAUAAAAGUGGUUGAUAAGGGUGGACAUUCACACUACUAAUCAUAUGUGAAAGGAAGCGAUUUCUGGAUAAGGAAAUGGGGCCCUCCAUAGCAGGUCUAAGACCAAGGAAGUGAGUUGGGCUUCCUCAAGGCAAUUCACAAUCCAGAGGGUUGCAGCCAGCCUGAGGUCAAACUAACCCAAUUUUCCUCCUAUCCUCUGAAGCCGUAGGGAAAGAAGGCCCUGACCCAUGCAGUCAAGAGAGGUCAACAUCCUAAGCAGAGAACAAAGGUGGAAAAGGGUGGAGGGUGAAUGUGGAGAGGCCAGUGAUGGAUAUGUGGCAUGCAGAUGAAAGUUCGUCUGUGUUGAAAUUCUUGUUUCUCAUAGAUGACGGGUUGAUGGGUGCAGCAAACCACCAUGGCACGUGUAUACCUAUGGAACAAACCUGCAUAUUCUGCAUGUGUACCCCAGAACUUAAAGUAUAAUAAAAAUAUUUUUAAAAAAGAAAUUCAUGUUUCUCGAACUUUAACAUGCAUACAAAUUACCUGAAUGUUUUGUUAAAAUGCACACUGUUUAGGAAGACUGGAAUGGGACCUGAGAUUUCGAAUUGCUCUCCAACUCCCAGGUGAUGCUGAGGCUGCUGUGCAUGAACUACAUUUGGAGCUGCAAGAAUGCGUGACCUAUCCAAUCCUUCCUCUCAUGGAAACACCAACUCAUCCAUGCCCUCUGUGCUGAAACUUCGUCUCAGCCUGCUGGAAUCACCUGCACCCCAUGGGAACUGUAGCCAUAUCUUCAGUCCUGUGAGCCCCCGUCAUGGCCUGUCACAGGAGUAAAUGAGGAGUAAGGCCCAGAAUACUCAGUACCUCUCAAUGACCCUCAGACGCUGUAGGAAGAGGAUUGGUUCACCUUUUAACCCAGAAUUUCUCACAUUGAAUGGACAGGAUGCAUUCCAAGAGGCCAGAGUAUGUGCAUCUCAGCUCCUGAUGGUUUCCACCACCACCAUUACUUUCUCUAUGUCAAGAUACCUGGGAAGCCGGUGUUUCAUUUGCAUUCUUGGAGCCCAGGAACUGUCUUCUACAAACUUUUCUUCCUAGUACCAUGUAAACGUACACAGGAAACGUUCAGAAAACAUCAGCCAAAUAGAAGAAUAAGGAAAUUCCUUCACUGACUAGAUAUUGGUGUUUGAUUCUGUCCUGCUUUGUACUCAAUGGCUAUUUCGGGGUUUCCAUUGCGGAAAACUAUUUGGAAAAUUGCAAGCCACGAGACAAGCCUCUAAGCUACUCCAGGAUCAUUGAGGACUCUCCAUGGGUUCUUAUUGUUAAAGAUCUUAACUCCUCAAGCCACUGCAUUUUUACUAUAUGCCUUGAACUACAAGAUGUGUUAAGAUUUAUAGGAUAAGGUUCUCAUCUCUAAAAACUCAUGGUCUCGAUGGAGAAGCAGUAUUUACACACAUGGAGAAGUUGAGAGUACUUGAAUGUGGAGUAUAAAGUGUGCGAUAUUGACAAGAAGCUCUACGAAAGUUCAGGAAGAGGAGGAGCAAGUGAGGAUGGAGAUGGACUUUGCAGAAUGGAGGAGAGGCAAAGAAACGGUUAGAAACAAUCUACAUAAUGAAAAGUCACUUUUGGGAGUUGUUUUAAGGCAGAGUAUCAUAUCGCAUCAAAACCGCUCCAUAAGUCCUGCCACUCCACGUGCAAUGCCAUGAACUUGAAGAAACUGCUGGUAAGAGAAAGCAAAUGCUGUGACCAGGCAACUGCUGCAAACCAAUGGGCUUUGGGGAACUGUGCUUCCCUUCAGAAAGGAAAGAGUAUUUAACGAUGAAAAGGAAGGUGGAUUUUCCCUACUCAUGCUUCCUAGAGAUUUGGUGAGGAUUUGUUGAGUCAUGGGACAUUUCAGCUUGCCAAGGCUCCUUUGCUGGCUGACUUUCUGCUAAUUCUGCAGCUGGAUGCAGCAGAAGAGGAUGGAAGGCAGAAGGAAGGGAAAAGUGGCUUCCUUCCCGAUUACUGCCAGUCCUGUCAGUGUUGCCCAAGACUGCCAAUUUGUUCCACCAGCAGCAGUGCCUUCGGACUUCUGCCUCAGUGUUUUCCAGCAGUCCCAGUGAGAGGUGACAACGCGCUAGCAGCCCUCACUUACUCUUGGCGCCUCCUGGGCCUCGGCGUCCACUCUGGCUGCGCUUGAGGAGCCCUUCAGCCCGCGGCUGCACUGUGGGAGCCCCUCUCUGGGCUGGCUGAGGCCGGAGCCAGCUCCCUCUGCUUGUGGGGAGAAGAAUCUUGGUCGUCCAGAAAGCUUGCUAUAGCUGCCCAGCAUUUGCCUCCUCCACAAAGAAGGACCAAAAGAACAAGUAGACAAUCACAUGCCAAAUAAAAUGUCUAAAGGAGAGCACUGAAGCUCAGCAAAAACGUUACAAAGACCCUCUGAGGUGCAGAAACUCGGGAUGGCAGCACAAAGAGGAAAGCAAAGCAGCCGGUCAGGAUCAGCUCACAGUCAAGGGCGCCCCGCCUUGAGUAGGAAAUGUAAGCAGGAGAUGCCCUGCAGGCAACAUUCCCACCACAAAUGCCUGCAAGCCUAGCUGUAGGAGAGCCUCGCAGUGUUGAGCCCAGUGCGGGAGCUGCCUGGAGUCUCUGUGACUACAUUACUCCAGAGAGGCCACUGGGUCCCUCCUUAGUCCCUGGGACCCAAGCCGCUGCAGCACAGUAUCAUUUUGAGGACAGAGCCACUGCCAGAAUGCUUCCUGUCCUGGGGCCCGGUAACCCCUGCAUGUCCUCAUCACUGGAGCCCCAAUAUCAUUCCACAGUUGUAUGAGGAGUAAAAAUAACUAUAAAUAAAGAUAACUCAAGAAUUCUAUAAGCAAGCAUACACAUGAAAUUCAUUUUAUAAGAGGAAAGCUAACUCCAUCUCUCUUGAAAUAUGGAAUAGGUUCUUGAAGCAAUUCUAAAUGCUGAUCUGCUGGAAUGAUGGCUUCAUUGCACAAGAAUUCUGCUUAGUUCAUUGAAGUCUCCUUGAAGAAGUCAGUCUGAGAAUGGGGGAAUUCCGUUGUUGGUCAGAAGAAUUCUUUGGUCACUAUUGGAAGUGGGUUCAGUUUAGGGUGACUAUUGAUCAACAGGGUUCAUGGGUUUGCUAAAACUCAUUUCAGGCAAGCUUUGGAAGUGCAGUUCGCUUGGUGCUUAUGGGGUUAAAAACAGGAGGAAGAGAAUUUCACAUUAUUGGAGGGCCUGAAAGGAAACUGAUUCCCGCAAGAUGCUCAGACAAGAUCAAACCCAGCCCCUUUUCUGGUUUGGAAUUUCUCUGGGCUAUAAAGGUAGAAGAAAAGGCCCUGCAUGGGCCCACUCUAAGUGCUUGGAGGUUUUAGAUAAUUUUAUUAAAUUGUAGAAUCUUAAACAGAACUACAAGGUUGCUUUUAAAACCAGAUCUCAGAUUUCUUUGAGCUAACAAAUGGUAAAAUGUAUCUUUAGUAUUAGAGUGAGAUAAAGGUAGUUAUAACUUUUUUUUUUACUUAUUUUAUGUUAACGUAUGCAACAAAGGGUACAAAUUGUAGGUACGCAGCUCAUUGAACUUUUAUGUCUGCACAUGCCUAUGAAACCAACACCCAGAGUAAGAUGCGGAUAAUUUUCUGCUCCCCUGAAAAUUCCCUUGUGCCUUUUCCUCAUCAGUACCUCCAAAGGUAACCACUAUUUUGAUUUCCAUUACCAUAGAUGAGUUAUACUUGUUUUUGAAAAGAUUAUUUGAAAUGUGUAAUAUAAAUAAUAGCGGUUGCUUAUCUUACAGAAAUAUCACUGAGAAUUCAUUUCUUCUCUCCUUCAUUUAUUCAUUUGUUCAAAACACUGUCUAGUACCAACAUUGUCCACCGGGCGUUGAGAAUACAAUAUUGAAGAAGAGUCACUGCCUGCCCUCUGGAAAAAUCAGAGUAUUUGAAAGAAUACACACAAGUAAACAGGCAGCUAUGGCAAAGUGGGUAAAAGCUGCAAAACAGGGAAGUUUCGCCAAGUGUCAGAUGCCAAGAAGUGUCAGAUGCCAAGAAGAAAGGGUGCAUGACAUAGACUUGGGGGGGUCAGUAGUGGUUUCUGGAACGAGUGACAUUUAGACUGAAACUGGAAGGAUAUGAGUAAGGGCUAAUCGGACCAAGAUGAAGAGAUACAGAAGCAGAAGGAACAGUAGGAACAAAUGCUCAGAGGCAAAAGAAAGCUUUGAAUAUUUGAGGAACUGAAAAGCAAAACAACAAAAAAUAGCCAUCCCUUGACUAGACAAGUGACCUGGGGUCAGAUCCUGAAGGGCUUUGCAGAUCACUUUUCCGCUUGUAGACUUUGUACUUGACUUUAAGGGCCAUGGAGAGCCACUGAAGCAUUUUCAGCAAGGGACUGUCAUCAGCAGAUUGGUAUUUGUUUUGAAGUAGCACAUGUAAGAGAAAAUAACAAUAUGGACAAAUAAAGAGUUUGAAAAACAACUUUGCUUUGAUACUUUAGGAUGAAAUAUCUGAGAUAGCAGCGCCCCCCCCCCCAUCAGCCAUUUUUAAUGACACUACUAUUUGAGCACAAGUUGCAAGAAAAUUUGCAACAAAUAGGCUUUUUCUGUAGAACACAAAGCAGGGAUGUUUGAACGAUGCAUUAUUUGAAUUCCAUCUUAGUAGGAAGCCAUCCAUAAUAGGAGGAAGUUGAGGAAUAGGCCUAAUGUUCACAGUGGCACAGGUGGCGUUUGCAUCUGCCUUCAAUGUUCCUAUGAUACGAAUCCUCCACUGCAGAAAAUUCCUCGUGGAAUUUUCUAUUUUAUGUGUUAAACUUUAUCGAAAUCUUUUCCUGAUGUUUAUAUUUCUGUGAUAAUCAUUAUUAAACUGAAAAAUGCGGAA